UAUUAAACAUUCUAAAUAUAUUAGGAUCUUAAUUUACAUAAUAUAUCAAUUCUUAGAUUAUACUAACUACCCAUUAAUAGUACUCACUCGUUUCAUAAGUCUUCCAUGACUUGUAAAUAAUUCUAUUAACUAUUAACUAAUACAUUCUAUCAUAACAAUAGUCACUUUUAAACUCUUGAUCAUUUUGUCUUAGAAUUUAUUCUCAUAUAAGCUACGUGAGAUCAACACGAACCACAAAUUUUUUUUUUUU
rnacentral:lncRNA from 1 species